rnacentral:rRNA from 1 species
CGAACGCUGGCGGCAGGCUUAACACAUGCAAGUCGAGCGCCCUGCUUGCAGGGAGCGGCAGACGGGUGAGUAACGCGUGGGAACAUACCUUCGGUUCGGAAUAGCCCGGGAAACUGGGUGUAAUACCGGAUACGUCCUUAGGGAGAAAGAUUUAUCGCCGAAAGAUUGGCCCGCGUUAGAUUAGAUAGUUGGUGGGGUAAUGGCCCACCAAGUCUACGAUCUAUAGCUGGUUUGAGAGGAUGAUCAGCCACACUGGGACUGAGACACGGCCCAGACUCCUACGGGAGGCAGCAGUGAGGAAUCUUGGACAAUGGGCGAAAGCCUGAUCCAGCCAUGCCGCGUGAAUGAUGAAGGCCUUAGGGUUGUAAAAUUCUUUCAGUAGGGAAGAUAAUGACGGUACCUACAAAGAAGCCCCGGCUAACUCCGUG